CGGGGGGGGCAAGCGUUGUGCGGAAUUACUGGGCGUAAAGGGCGCGUAGGCGGUUUGUUAAGUUGAAUGUGAAAACUCUGGGCUUAACCCAGAGCCUGCAUUCAAUACUGGCAGGCUAGAGUUCUGGAGGGGAUAGCGGAAUUCCUGGUGUAGCGGUGAAAUGCGUAGAUAUCAGGAGGAACACCGGUGGCGAAGGCGGCUAUCUGGACAGAGUCUGACGCUGAGGCGCGAAAGCUAGGGGAGCAAACAGGAUUAGAUACCCUGGUAGUCCUAGCCCUAAACGAUGGAUACUUGCUGUGACUGGGAUUGAAUCCAGCCGUGGCGAAGCUAACGCAUUAAGUAUCCCGCCUGGGGAGUACGGUCGCAAGGCUG
rnacentral:rRNA from 1 species